UACGUAGGGGGCAAGCGUUGUCCGGAUUUACUGGGUGUAAAGGGCGCGCAGGCGGAUCUGUUAGUCAGGGGUGAAAUCCUACGGCUCAACCGUAGAACUGCCUCUGAUACUGCAGAUCUUGAGUUCGGAAGAGAGAAGCGGAAUUCCAGGUGUAGUGGUGAAAUACGUAGAUAUCUGGAAGAACACCAGUGGCGAAGGCGGCUUCUUGGUCCGCAACUGACGCUGAGGCGCGAAAGCGUGGGGAGCAAAC
rnacentral:rRNA from 1 species